rnacentral:lncRNA from 1 species
CAGAAUCGAAUUUGAGCUCUCUGAUAGGGGUUUUCUGGCAGGAAUCGAGGAGCAUUUUUCCAGGUCUCGUCGAUGUAUUCCAGGAUGAUGGGCGACUCUGGUAUUGGUUUUCCAUUGUGAACAAGCACAGGGAUCUUCUUGUGAACAGGAUUGUAUUGGAGAAGCAAUGGGCUCUUGUUGCUCAAAUCUUCUUCUAAGUAGUCAUAGGGAAUGCCUUUAACUCUGAGGGCUAAUUCAACCCUCUUAGAGUAAGUGCUAAUCCACGUCCCAUGUAGCUUAACUUUGUUUUCUUCUUCCAUCCCUCUCUUUUUGCUUAGUUCUGCUUGCCUUUUGAUGAGUUACAUUAUUCUGAAACGUUUUAAAUAGAGUUGCAUAGCGUGCCAUUAAUUAUUUAAAUUUUUUCUUGUUAGUUACUGCUUCGACAUUCAAAUGUAUGACAUUGAAUGAAAGAUUUAUAUAUUUGUUUAUUUACUUUGUCGGUUUUGGUCUGAUCUGAUUCAUCUGUACAUUUUAGUAAGAAACUUUUAGAAAACUUGAACGACAAGGACUUGAUACUAAUCCCAAACCUUUAACCGUGUAUAAAAUUAUUUUAUAUAUAGAGAAUUAGCUUUAGACUUUAGUUGCACCAAGUGUUAAGAAAUUUAAGAAAUAAAUAGAGCUUUUUAAUUCCAAAGCUCUCUUUAAAAUUUCAGUGAGAUGAUUCAUCAUGUUGGUAUCACAAGUCUUAUAUUUUACUUUGAAUCUUGAAUUAAAAAAGGGUUUAUUAUUAAAGCGGUAGAAAUGAUGCAAGUGCUGGCGAUUAAGUAGAGGAAAGUCCACGGAGGGAACAUAUUCAAAAAACACAAGAAACAAAUAUAUGAAUGACUUUUUGGUGACAUUUUUUUUUUUGUCUAGACAAAGAGUGAAGCUCUUAAAAAAAAAUGCAAGUAAAAGAAUUUUUUAAUUUGAUUUUCAUUAAUAAGUUGAGAUGGCCUAAUAUGCCUUAUUAGUAUUACAACAAAGCCACACCAAACCAAGAAAACACAAGCGGAGAAACAGAUACUGCUGGAAAAGACUAAAGAGCAAACAUACAUGACGAGAACACCAAUGGAUAUAACUUAACUAGAAGGCUUGAGACCAUUUUGUUUCAUAAAUUGAAGAAG